CUAUACAGCAGCUCCACAGAUAAGGCUAUGGUGGUCUGCCAGACAACAACUUGAAUAAUAAGCAUGCUGUCACAACAGUGACAGCUAACUGAAUAGUGAGUUGUUACUAUGUGUAGUCAGCAGGUCAAAAGAAGGGAUUUCCCAUCUAGGCUAGGAUGUUGAAGUACAUUACAUGAAACAAGAGGCUGAGAGAACUUUGCUUAAGAAUACCAACACUGACCUCCAAAAUUAAGUCUAGAUUUACCUUUGAAUCCUCCACGACCCCUCCCUCCUUGCCCUCUUGCACCACCUCCACGUCUUCGCCCAUCUCCCCUGCGAAGGUAGUUGUCUCGUUCCUCUUCUGCUUGGGCUAAUGACCAAUCGCUAAGUUCAUCUCUGUGAUCAGAUUCCGUUUCAGAAGCAUUUGAUGCUUCAGAAUUAGUUCCCGAAGCGUAGCCUGGACCACGUCUGCUAUGCCCUCUGUUUCUGUAAGGUCGACUACCCCUUCCGAGUCCCGGACCAUCAUCAGUCAUAUAUCCUUUUUCUUUAUCUGUACGAUUUGGUGGUGGUCUAGAAGUAGCUCCAAUCUGUCGAAGCUGCUCAUCAAUUUGCAAUCUUUCCAAACGUAGUUGGUCCACCUCCUUUAAAUAAUUAAGAUGAUAAUCCAGAAGAACAGUUGCAUUAGUGAUGCUAUCCUUGGUUCCCACAAAUACAAAUGGUACCAUUCCCUCUUCUUGUGGAAUAUUUUUAUCAUUUUCAGCCUCAAUUCUCACUCUUACAACACCAGAUUUGUCCACUAUCUCCUGAAUCAGUUUUCCAUUUUUUCC
rnacentral:lncRNA from 1 species